rnacentral:rRNA from 1 species
UAACAAGGAUUCCCCUAGUAACUGCGAGUGAAGCGGGAAAAGCUCAAAUUUAAAAUCUGGUAGUCUUUGGCUGCCCGAGUUGUAGUCUGGAGAAGUGCCUUCCGCGCCGGACCGUGUACAAGUCUCUUGGAACAGAGCGUCAUAGAGGGUGAGAAUCCCGUCUUUGACACGGACUACCGGGGCUUUGUGAUGCGCUCUCAAAGAGUCGAGUUGUUUGGGAAUGCAGCUCAAAAUGGGUGGUAAAUUCCAUCUAAAGCUAAAUAUUGGCGAGAGACCGAUAGCGAACAAGUACCGUGAGGGAAAGAUGAAAAGCACUUUGGAAAGAGAGUUAAACAGUACGUGAAAUUGCUGAAAGGGAAACGCUUGAAGUCAGUCGCGUCGUCCAGAACUCAACCUGGCUUUAACUGCUGGGUGCACUUUCUGGUAGACGGGCCAACAUCAGUUUUGACUGCUGGAAAAAAGCCUUUGGAAUGUGGCACCUUCGGGUGUGUUAUAGCCUUGGGUUGUAUACAGUGGUGGGGACUGAGGACCGCAGCACGCCUUUAUGGCCGGGGUUCGCCCACGUACGUGCUUAGGAUGUUGGCGUAAUGGCUUUAAGCGAC